rnacentral:lncRNA from 1 species
ACUGCCGCAGAAGAGAAAAGAAAAUCCCAUCUAGCUCAGCCCAUCACCUCAAUGCUAUUGGCCACCUGUUCCGUCUUCCUUUUCCUAUACAAGCCUUGGGGCCUAUAGGUUCCCUAUACGAACCUUUGAAGAGUGGCACCUCCCCACCACCUUCUUCGUUUGCUGCUUUUCCAGAUGAAAGCUUUUCCCUUCUCCAGCAAUCUGUCCCAUUCACUGGAUUUGGGGGUGGACAAAUGAAAGAACUCAGUGGGCCAGGCUGGUGGCCCGGGCCUGCGCUAUCAGCUACUCUGGAGGUUAAAGCAGGAGAAUUGCAAGUUCAGUGCUUGACUGAGCUACAGAGUGCAGUCAAGGGCACCCUGGGCAACUAAGGAAGUCCUUUCUCAAGGGUGUAACGUGGUCAUUGCUUCCCGGAAACUGGACAGAUUAACCGCUGCUGUGGAUGAACUGAGAGCCUCUCAGCCUCCCUCCAGCAGCACUCAAGUCACCGCCAUACAGUGCAAUAUCAGGAAAGAAGAAGAG